rnacentral:antisense_RNA from 1 species
GGCGUUUGUAGCAACAGCUUACUUCUUUCUUUGAUGUCGCCACCAAUGUGAUAAGGCAAACCACAGUUGGCGAAAGAGACAAAAGGAGAACGUUCGAACAUGAUGAUCUCUGCCUCUUCACUUAAACGGCGUGCUCUUGCUGCUGCUGAAGCGCCGCCUGCGACACCAC